UUCCUACGGGAGGCAGCAGUGAGGAAUAUUGGACAAUGGGCGAGAGCCUGAUCCAGCCAUGCCGCGUGCAGGAUGACGGCCCUAUGGGUUGUAAACUGCUUUUAUACAGGAAGAAACACCCCGACGUGUCGGGACUUGACGGUACUGUAAGAAUAAGGAUCGGCUAACUCCGUGCCAGCAGCCGCGG
rnacentral:rRNA from 2 species